rnacentral:misc_RNA from 1 species
AAAGUGCGACAAGUGUCAUGACUUGCAGAUACCCGAGAGCUGACAAAUUUCUGAAUGCAAAUUGCAGCCAAGUUAACCUGGCUAUGCGUUGCAGAGAGUACUUCGCGUAUGCGCUCCAUCCAGAGAUGUUUUCGCAACUCUGGGACAUGCGAUUGGGAACAAGAGAGAGUGUGUGGGGGGUCCUCCCCUCGCGCACAUGCUCUUCUCUUCGACCAGUGUCUCCGUACUACUGCGUCGCCCGAACGUCAAAGUCAGAAAACCUCGUGUUUUCCUGAAUACCUUGAGACAAGGGAACGAGAGACUCACAUCUCUCUUUCUUCUUCUUCUCACUCCUCACCUCUGCAAUGCAGGAGAACCCGCUGAACUUAA